ensembl:lncRNA
AAUAGCAUCCAUCAGUAGGAGUUUUUCUCCUCAGCUCAUGGCAGCGGAUCAAAUAUUUAAAUGUGAUUUUUAGACAUAAAGGCACAUGAAGAGAUUUGUUUGACGAAGGAGGAGUGAUUUAGAAAACUCAGCUCCAACGAUGGGGAAGAAUUUUCUGCCAGGAUGAGGCUCAUCCACCUGCAACACGUUUUGCCUGAAAACUUCAUAUCCCCAUCAUUUUUUCCCAAAGGAAAAGACCCCAUUGGCCAGACCUUUUGCUGGGGGUCGGGGCUGGACCCCACCGGUAGGUGGAUUCUUCACCAUCUGAGCCACCAGGGAAGCCUCCUCUUCCUUUGGAAUCGGCAUUUGGCCCAAUCACACCGAAGACCUGUUUCAUCUCUGAGUUUGGAGCAGAGAGAGCUUAAGAAGCUUUGAUACACAGAGAAGGAUUUUUGCCAGUUUAUCCUCUAAACCCAGAGAAAGAGGGACUCAGAAU